rnacentral:rRNA from 1 species
AUUGAACGCUGGCGGCGUGCCUAACACAUGCAAGUCGAGCGGUAACAGGUGUAGCAAUACAUGCUGACGAGCGGCGGACGGGUGAGUAACGCUUGGGAAUCUGCCUAUUAGUGGGGGACAACCCGGGGAAACUCGGGCUAAUACCGCAUACGCACUACGGUGGAAAGCCGGGGACCGCAAGGCCUGACGCUAACAGAUGAGCCCAAGUCGGAUUAGCUAGUUGGUAGGGUAACGGCCACCAAGGCGACGAUCCGUAACUGGUCUGAGAGGACGACCAGUCACACCGGAACUGAGACACGGUCCGGACUCCUACGGGAGGCAGCAGUGGGGAAUAUUGGACAAUGGCGAAAGCCUGAUCCAGCGACGCCGCGUGGGUGAAGAAGGCCUGCGGGUUGUAAAGCCCUUUCAGUGGGGAAGAAAGCCUCGAGCUAAUAUCUCGGGUCUUGACGUAACCAUAGAAGAAGCACCGGCUAACUCUGUGCCAGCCGCCGCAGU